AGCUGUUUUGGGACUACAACUCCCAUCAGCCCUACCUAUCAGGACCAGUGGUCAGGGAUGAUGGGAAUUCUAGUCCCAAAGCAGCU